UACGUAGGGCGCAAGCGUUAUCCGGAAUUAUUGGGCGUAAAGAGCUCGUAGGCGGUUUGUCGCGUCUGCUGUGAAAGACCGGGGCUCAACUCCGGUUCUGCAGUGGGUACGGGCAGACUAGAGUGCAGUAGGGGAGACUGGAAUUCCUGGUGUAGCGGUGAAAUGCGUAGAUAUCGGGAGGAACACCAGUGGCGAAGGCGGCGAUCUGGGAAGAUACUGACGCUGAGGUGCGAAAGCGUGGGGAGCGAACAGG
rnacentral:rRNA from 1 species